GAUGAAUGCUGGCGGCGUGCCUAAUACAUGCAAGUCGAGCGAACGGACGAGAAGCUUGCUUCUCUGAUGUUAGCGGCGGACGGGCGAGUAACACGUGGAUAACCUACCUAUAAGACUGGGAUAACUUCGGGAAACCGGAGCUAAUACCGGAUAAUAUUUUGAACCGCAUGGUUCAAAAGUGAAAGACGGUCUUGCUGUCACUUAUAGAUGGAUCCGCGCUGCAUUAGCUAGUUGGUAAGGUAACGGCUUACCAAGGCAACGAUGCAUAGCCGACCUGAGAGGGUGAUCGGCCACACUGGAACUGAGACACGGUCCAGACUCCUACGGGAGGCAGCAGUAGGGAAUCUUCCGCAAUGGGCGAAAGCCUGACGGAGCAACGCCGCGUGAGUGAUGAAGGUCUUCGGAUCGUAAAACUCUGUUAUUAGGGAAGAACAUAUGUGUAAGUAACUGUGCACAUCUUGACGGUACCUAAUCAGAAAGCCACGGCUAACUACGUG
rnacentral:rRNA from 1 species